AAGUCGUAACAAGGUUUCCGUAGGUGAACCUGCGGAAGGAUCAUUCACACUAAGUCAGAUAUGCUCGCUUCACACUUCUC
rnacentral:misc_RNA from 1 species